rnacentral:misc_RNA from 1 species
UACGGAGGAUCCAAGCGUUAUCCGGAAUCAUUGGGCUGAAAGGGUCCGUAGGCCGGAUAAUAAGUCAGUGGUGAAAGUCUGCAGCUCAACUGUAGAAUUGCCAUUGAUACUGUUGCUCUUGAGUGGUUUUGAAGUGGUUAGAAUAUGUAGUGUAGCGGUGAAAUGCAUAGAUAUUACAUAGAAUACCGAUUGCGAAGGCAGAUCACUAAUAAUGUACUGACGCUGAUGGACGAAAGCGUAGGUAGCGAACAGG